ensembl:lncRNA
AGUUUGAGAAGCUCUGAUUUAAGGGGCCUGGCACAGCUCCUUGAAGCGAACGCACCCAGCUGUGAAAACCUAAGGCCACAAGCCCUGACCAUGACAUCCUUCUAAUCACUCGUCUGAAGUGGCCGACGGCUGCUAAUUCUGUCUCAUUGCCCGUGUAAUCCUCACAACCACUCUGGGAGGCAGACGAUGACCCCCAGAACCCAAGGCUCGGAAAGGCCUAGAUGUCUUUCUGUUCCACGGACCCUCCCAGGGGGCAACUCAGACCUUCGUAUACCCAGACUUGGAGAUCCACAGAUGAAAGGCGCUCUAGGACUACAAAGUAACAUUCCGACCAAGAAGAAGAACGCCGCUUGGCCUCAGAUGCCGGGCUCCCCCGCGUUGAUCGAGCUGCACCUUCAACGACUCCUGUGCUCGCCCAUCAUCGCUCGUUUCACAAUCUCCCGGCCGGACUGGGCAACAGAGAUCUGAAUCCCCCUGAAGGAGACGGAGGCUCCAAGAUUGCGUCCCCUCGCCCCUCGGUCCCUUGGGAAAGAGCCCGCUGCCAGGAGAGCUUACCUAUUUCCAAAUAUCACAGACGCGCGGCUAAAACAACAGAGCCCCCUGCCAUCCUCAUGCCCACGCCCCAGGGCUCCCGCGGGGAGUAUGAGCUCUCCCCACAGAAGGCAUGGAGCCUGGGACGUUGGCGUGAACAGAUCUGGACGUGUGAGGACAAACUCAGGGGGCACUGGGAGCAGAAGCACCCUGGCCCAGGGAGCCCCAGGGGGAAGGGCAGUGCCCAGACAGCAGGAGACCCUAGGACGCUCCAGCUGGGUGGCCAGCAGCCCGAUGGCUCCCCUAGGGCCUUGGAGGACAUCUUCAAGGACACCUCUGCCUCCCAGGACUGGCUAGUAUCGGUGCCCUCAGAGAUGUGCUCACUCCUCUGGGGCGAUCCCCAGGGCCUGGCAGUGGUCUGGUGACAUCCACAGCCUGCACUGUCCUGCAGGGCGGCCCUGGGGGCAGGACCUGGCUGAGGUGGGCUACCUACCCUCCCAGCCCCUCAGCUGAUGGCAGGGAGCUGCAAGUCACUGAGUCUGGCUCAGUUCCUCAUGGGACCCCUGGACAGAGGGAAGAUAGUAAGUGGGAACAGGACAAGGUCUGCUCCUCCAGGCCGCAGCCCCAGCUGCCCACUGGGCGCAGGAGGCCGCCUGCCACUCCUCUCUUCCUUCCUUCCUUUCCCUCUUUCUUCCUUCCUUCCUUCUUUCUGCCGCCUCCUUGCAGCUCGGAGCCUGGCUCUGGAGGCAAACAUGAAAAGGGCACAGGCCCAUCCUUAGGGAGCUCCGAGGGACUCAGAGGGAAAGGCCCGUGGCCUAAGGAACACCUGUGCUAAGGUAAAUAUGACCCCAGAGCACCUGGGCAGAACAGGGGGAGCGGUGAGGGAAGGCAGCGGCAGGAAUCCGCGAGUGGAUCAGCAGCGAUCCCACCAUACCACCUGCUCGUCCUCAGGCAAACCCCCACUCGACCCCCUGACCCCUUGGCCUCCCCUUAGUUCCCUUUACACUCCAGUGGUCAUUCCUCCUUCCUCCUCCUGCCAACCCAGUCGUGGCCCCUUCAGGCCCCAGCUCAGGGACCCCUCCUCUGUCACAUCCCCUCCUCCAGGUCCCACCAGCACGUCUGGUCACACUUGGUGUCUGAGGGCCUGGAUGUUUCUAGACCCUGGUCCCCAAGUGGCCUGGUCUCAGCAGCUCCCGGACCCAGCCCCCUGCCCCGUCCACCGGCAGCAGGGAGCCGGAGACAGCAGGGCCUCGCCGGGAGUCACAAGUGGCAGGCUCUGAGCAGCGGAGAGCUUCUCCAUCUGGAUGGCAGGCGACCCCAACUGCGGCUCGUCCUUGAAUCACGUCUUGUAAAAAAUCAUUUGCACAUUUGAAUUCAAAGCCCCUCAAAACAGUAUAAACACCACCAUUCCAAGUACCAUAAAAAC